UAGGGAAUCUUCCACAAUGGACGCAAGUCUGAUGGAGCAACGCCGCGUGAGUGAAGAAGGUUUUCGGACCGUAAAGCUCUGUUGUUGGUGAAGAAGGAUAGAGGUAGUAACUGGCCUUUAUUUGACGGUAAUCAACCAGAAAGUCACGGCUAACUACGUGCCAGCAGCCGCGGUAAUCGUAGGUGGCAAGCGUUGUCCGGAUUUAUUGGGCGUAAAGCGAGCGCAGGCGGAAGAAUAAGUCUGAUGUGAAAGCCCUCGGCUUAACCGAGGAAUUGCAUCGGAAACUGUUUUUCUUGAGUGCAGAAGAGGAGAGUAGAACUCCAUGUGUAGCGGUGGAAUGCGUAGAUAUAUGGAAGAAUACCAGUGGCGAAGGCGGCUCUCUGGUCUGCAAACUGACGCUGAGGCUCGAA
rnacentral:rRNA from 1 species